rnacentral:rRNA from 1 species
AGUGAACGCUGGCGGUAGGCCUAACACAUGCAAGUCGAACGGCAGCACAGUAAGAGCUUGCUCUUACGGGUGGCGAGUGGCGGACGGGUGAGGAAUACAUCGGAAUCUACUUUUUCGUGGGGGAUAACGUAGGGAAACUUACGCUAAUACCGCAUACGACCUACGGGUGAAAGCAGGGGAUCUUCGGACCUUGCGCGAUUGAAUGAGCCGAUGUCGGAUUAGCUAGUUGGCGGGGUAAAGGCCCACCAAGGCGAUGAUCCGUAGCUGGUCUGAGAGGAUGAUCAGCCACACUGGAACUGAGACACGGUCCAGACUCCUACGGGAGGCAGCAGAGGGGAAUAUUGGACAAUGGGCGCAAGCCUGAUCCAGCCAUACCGCGUGGGUGAAGAAGGCCUUCGGGUUGUAAAGCCCUUUUGUUGGGAAAGAAAAGCAGCAGGUUAAUACCCCGCUGUUCUGACGGUACCCAAAGAAUAAGCACCGGCUAACUUCGUG